GAUGAACGCUAGCGGGAGGCCUAACACAUGCAAGCCGAGCGGUAUUUGUUCUUCGGAACAGAGAGAGCGGCGCACGGGUGCGGAACACGUGUGCAACCUGCCUUUAUCUGGGGGAUAGCCUUUCGAAAGGAAGAUUAAUACCCCAUAAUAUAUUGAGUGCAUCAUUUGAUAUUGAAAACUCCGGUGGAUAGAGAUGGGCACGCGCAAGAUUAGAUAGUUGGUGAGGUAACGGCUCACCAAGUCAAUGAUCUUUAGGGGGCCUGAGAGGGUGAUCCCCCACACUGGUACUGAGACACGGACCAGACUCCUACGGGAGGCAGCAGUGAGGAAUAUUAGACAAUGGGUUAGCGCCUGAUCCAGCCAUCCCGCGUGAAGGACGACGGCCCUAUGGGUUGUAAACUUCUUUUGUAUAGGGAUAAACCUACUCUCGUGAGAGUAGCUGAAGGUACUAUACGAAUAAGCACCGGCUAACUCCGUG
rnacentral:rRNA from 1 species